AUUGAACGCUGGCGGCAUGCUUUACACAUGCAAGUCGAACGGUAACAGGUUAAGCUGACGAGUGGCGAACGGGUGAGUAAUGCAUCGGAACGUGCCCGAUCGUGGGGGAUAACGCAGCGAAAGCUGCGCUAAUACCGCAUACGAUCUGAGGAUGAAAGCGGGGGACCGUAAGGCCUCGCGCGAUCGGAGCGGCCGAUGUCAGAUUAGGUAGUUGGUGGGGUAAAGGCUCACCAAGCCGACGAUCUGUAGCUGGUCUGAGAGGACGACCAGCCACACUGGGACUGAGGCACGGCCCAGACUCCUACGGGAGGCAGCAGUGGGGAAUUUUGGACAAUGGGCGAAAGCCUGAUCCAGCAAUGCCGCGUGCAGGAUGACGGCUCUAUGAGUUGUAAACUGCUUUUGUACGAGGGUAAAGUGGGUUACGUGUAACCUUUUGAAAGUAUCGUACGAAUAAGGAUCGGCUAACUCCGUGCCAGCAGCCGCAGUAAUAC
rnacentral:rRNA from 1 species